CAGAAGGUCAAGGACUUUGAGAUUCAAUGGCUGUUUAUUGAGAUGCCAGAGAGAAGGGCAGGGUGGCAUCUUCUCUGAGAGCAUCUGCCAGUCCUUCCACACAGCAUGAGACUGGGUGUAAGAGACACUGCACUACUCUAACAAAAGAAUCCGGACGGUGGGAAAUCUGUGGAAUCUCUUCCUACACUGAAGAUGUUCUAAGAGAUGCUGGAAUUGAAGCCAAGAUCCAGCAAUGAAAAUGUAAACCUGGAGAGUGGCAACUUGAAGCCAUGGCUGAUACUUCUACCCAGAACCAAGCCGAUGUGCCUGCAAGAUUUGGGAAAUGAAACCCCUCAAAGAGGGGGGUUUGUUCAGACUGUACAUGAAAUAAGAGCAGAAAGAGGCAGCACAUGUCACUGGAUUCACAGCCCCUUGUCACUUGCCGAUGACAGGCCGCUGUCCUCUGGGAGCUUCCCCUGCCUGCUGGCUGGUGCUGGGCUCUGCUUGGCAGACUGGUGAGAUCCAUGUUUCUGGAGACUUAAGAUGCCAGGACCCAUCCUGCUCUGAAGCCUGGAUGGCCAGCUGAAGAUCUGACAGCCUCACCUGAAGGGAAAACAUCUCUAUGGCUGGGUCCCUCUCUCCUCUGGGUAUCAAAAAGUAGAUGGAGGAUCCACCGCAGGGAGUGUCUGAAACUCUUCUGGGACCACUUGGCGCCCCUCAAAUUAUGGGCCAAGCUAAAGAAAUGAAAACCAGAUGUGGCCCCAAAUGUGACAGUACUUGCUCGUAAUUAUAAUGAUCUUUAUGGACUCUUUAUUGAGCCUCAAAUUGAAGUUUAGUGAACAAUUGCCAAAAGAUGUGGGGUUUCCCACGGUAGAUGUCACAAGGAAGACAGCAUUCGAGCUGAGUCCC
rnacentral:lncRNA from 1 species